rnacentral:rRNA from 1 species
AUUGAACGCUAGCGGGAUGCUUGACACAUGCAAGUCGAACGGCAGCGCGGACUUCGGUCUGGCGGCGAGUGGCGAACGGGUGAGUAAUGUAUCGGAACGUGCCCAGUAGCGGGGGAUAACUACGCGAAAGCGUAGCUAAUACCGCAUACGCCCUACGGGGGAAAGCAGGGGAUCGUAAGACAUUGCACUAUUGGAGCGGCCGUUAUCGGAGUAGCUAGUUGGCGAGGUAACGGCGCACCAAGGCGACGAUCCGUAGCUGGUUUGAGAGGGCGACCAGCCACACUGGGACUGAGACACGGCCCAGACUCCUACGGGAGGCAGCAGUGGGGAAUUUUGGACGAUGGGGGCAACCCUGAUCCAGCCAUCCCGCGUGUGCGAUGAAGGCCUUCGGGUUGUAAAGCACUUUUGGCAGGAAAGAAACUUCGCGGGCUAAUCCCCCGUGGAACUGCCGGUACCUGCAGUAUAAGCACCGGCUAACUACGUG